rnacentral:rRNA from 1 species
GCGCAUGGGUAGGGACUUUUCCAUGCCAGUCGUGCGAAUGAUAAUAAUUUUUCUCUUCGAUGCUCCCAAUCUGGGGUCAUGUAGCUUUCAUUCUUAAUCCCGUGCGGGAUUUCUUCUACAGGAACAUUAGCUCCGUAUACGCCCUACGGGGCAAAGGAGGGCUCUUUCACACUUUGAACUAUACGAUGAACCGAUGUCGGAUAAUCUAAUUGGCGAGGUUAUGGCCCCCCCACGGUACCAACCGAAGCUGGUCUUGAGGGAUCAUCGGUCACACGGCCAUUAAGACUUGGUCCAAACCCCUCCGUGAUGCAGUUUUGGACCUUAUUUGUCCUUGGAGUAAAACUGAUCCCUCCAUGCCACCUGUGAGAAGGGUGUCUCCCGAUUGUGGACCUUUUAAGUUUGGAAGAAAGGUACUUAACCAAUACCUGGCCUUUUUGGCGUUACAGACCCAAAAAGCACCGGCUCAUUCUGUGACAGCACCCUGGGUGUAUACAGACGGGGGAAGCUUUUCUCGGUAUUUCUGGGUGAAAAGCGCGCGCAACGUGGUUCGGUGAGUCCCCAUGUUAAAUCCCCGAGUUUUAACCUGUGAACUCGCAUCUCCACACUGGCGAGAUAUAGAUAGGGCAGAGUGUGCGUCGAAUUUCCCGUGGGAGCUGCGAAAUGCGUUUGAUAUCGGUUAGAACACUGGAGUACGCAAGGGGAACCACAUGGUGGUUUUAACUGCCACUGUUGUGCGCAAAAGUGUGGAAAUAAACACGAGUAGAUACCCCUCGUCGACCACGGUCUCUUCCAAGAUCAACUACACUUUGCAACUCCUCGAGGAAAUUUCUGGCAGCCGCUAGCGCAUUAUAUCGUUCCCCCCGUGUGGGAAGCCGCCGCCCACGAUGAUACUCCAGGGGAAUUUUACUCGCGGGCCGACCAAACAGCUGGAGCGCGCCUGUUUGACUACCUAUACGCUUAAAGACUUAUCCCACCCUGUGUUCAUGCAGCGAACUGUCCUAAAUAGACCGGUGUCUUUGCGUACGCGUAACCUGAAGCAGCGACACGUAUAGGCCUGAGUACAGUUCUGGCUAGUAGAGUAGGUCCAUCCGAACAGCCUGACUAGCCUAGCUCGAUAGUGUGCUC